GCUCAACCGGGGAGGGUCAUUGGAAACUGGGAAACUUGAGUGCAGAAGAGGAGAGUGGAAUUCCACGUGUAGCGGUGAAAUGCGUAGAGAUGUGGAGGAACACCAGUGGCGAAGGCGACUCUCUGGUCUGUAGCUGACGCUGAGGAGCGAAAGCGUGGGGAGCGAACAGGAUUAGAUACCCUGGUAGUCCACGCCGUAAACGAUGAGUGCUAAGUGUUAGGGGGUUUCCGCCCCUUAGUGCUGCAGCUAACGCAUUAAGCACUCCGCCUGGGGAGUACGGUCGCAAGACUGAAACUCAAAGGAAUUGACGGGGGCCCGCACAAGCGGUGGAGCAUGUGGUUUAAUUCGAAGCAACGCGAAGAACCUUACCAGGUCUUGACAUCCUCUGACAACCCUAGAGAUAGGGCUUUCCCUUCGGGGACAGAGUGACAGGUGGUGCAUGGUUGUCGUCAGCUCGUGUCGUGAGAUGUUGGGUUAAGUCCCGCAACGAGCGCAACCCUUGAUCUUAGUUGCCAGCAUUCAGUUGGGCACUCUAAGGUGACUGCCGGUGACAAACCGGAGGAAGGUGGGGAUGACGUCAAAUCAUCAUGCCCCUUAUAACCUGGGCUACACACGUGCUACAAUGGACAGAACAAAG
rnacentral:rRNA from 1 species